AGACGAGUGCAAGACAUUAUUCUAGAAAUUAUUGUGAGGAAGAGGCCGACUUACUCGUUCCCGAGUGAACUUCGACAAAUCAAAUGAGAACAAAACAAUACUAUAUCAUUACUCUUAAGUCUCAAUCACAUCAAAGCAAAAUUUAUACUGCAUCAACAGUAGCUAAUAGAUCUAUUAUCCUACUAAUGAGUCAAAUCGUUUUAUCUGUACAUCAUAACAAAUUGGUUUUCAAGUCUAAAGUAGACCCAUGUCAUGUCAUUGCUUCCAAGAAUCCAAAGUUCAAAUCCAAGCAAAUUUGCUGCUUAAUGUAGAAGCCUACCAACCAACGAACUAACUUAUCAAAUUAAAAAUGAGUUCAUAUAUCAGUUACUUUAGUGGCAUAAGCACAUGCUUGUUUUAUCCAAUAAAAUUCCUAGUAUCCAUGAAUUGAACAGUUCAUAGACAAAAAACAAAAUCUUACACAUAACUAUUAUUACUAAUUAACAUAAAAGGGUGCUAACACACAGCUAGUAACAUUUAGAAUCAAACGUUCACGAACAAGAGUGAAGAAGAAAAAUAUAAAGAAUAAAAAUAAUAAAAUUGAUACCAAAAGAUAAGAAAGAAUCGAACCUUUUUUUGUAUUCAAUAAGAAUGUCAGAUCAAAUCCUUAACAAAGCAGUUGUGAGGGGGAAUGAAAAUCCAGAAAUUGAUGCUGAAAACUUGAGAAAAAAACAGAUCUGGACCCGACCAAAGAACCUCCAAAACUUCGAACAUUCACCUCAGCUAGUCUCAACGAAGAACUCGACCAAUCCGAAAACAAGAAAGUUGGAAAUUAAAACAAACAAAACCCAUAACUUCCUCUCAUCUGAGUUCUCUUACUGUACACGUGCGUGUGUGAGUUACGGCGUUUCCGGCGAGUUCGCCGCUGUUAAAGAAGAAGAAACUGAUGUGGGUGUGAAGAGAAGAAGAUAAAGGGGUGCUGUUUGGACGAGGGGCCGCUUUCAGUGUUCAGCCACUGCUCAAGGAUCUUACGGACGGUUACUUCAUUUUGCCAUGGAGAGAAGCUGGUCUUCUCUUGGAGAUGAAGACCGAAUGGAGAAGUGGGGUCCGUUCUUUGUGAAAAUGCGGCGCUCAAUUUUAGAAUCCUCGCCAAAGCUGCGCUACUCUUUUCUUGUGUUCUCAGGCGUGUAUCUUGUUUUCUCUGUAUGUAUGGUCGUCGGAUUCCGGCGUGGUGAGGGUGAAGAUCAAAAUCUAGUGGGUGGGGGUCCUUGUGUAUCGUCUAUGCUGCCUCCAAAGGUUAGAGAAGAUAACCUCUCCUCCGGACUGCAGCUUCUUUUGUUGUCUAUCUAUCAGCGUGUCUGUAUUGUAUGUGUAAUAGGUCUAGGUUUUUUUCACGAGAAAUGAGUUUGGG
rnacentral:lncRNA from 1 species